rnacentral:rRNA from 1 species
GACGAACGCUGGCGGCGUGCUUAACACAUGCAAGUCGAACGGAAAGGCCCUGCUUUUGUGGGGUGCUCGAGUGGCGAACGGGUGAGUAACACGUGAGUAACCUGCCCUUGACUUUGGGAUAACUUCAGGAAACUGGGGCUAAUACCGGAUAGGAGCUCCUGCUGCAUGGUGGGGGUUGGAAAGUUUCGGUGGUUGGGGAUGGACUCGCGGCUUAUCAGCUUGUUGGUGGGGUAGUGGCUUACCAAGGCUUUGACGGGUAGCCGGCCUGAGAGGGUGACCGGCCACAUUGGGACUGAGAUACGGCCCAGACUCCUACGGGAGGCAACAGUGGGGAAUAUUGCACAAUGGGCGGAAGCCUGAUGCAGCAACGCCGCGUGCGGGAUGACGGCCUUCGGGUUGUAAACCGCUUUCGCCUGUGACGAAGCGUGAGUGACGGUAAUGGGUAAAGAAGCACCGGCUAACUACGU